UCGGCUGCGGAGACUCACUUGCCACAGUGCACGGCAGCGGACAGACGCACACACUCCACAUCGUCGGAUUUUUCUGCAGCGGCACCAAAUCCACCAAGGAAAACCAACUUGUCCUCUCCCCCCUCCCUUGCAGGAUCUUUACGCACAGCGGUGGCGACAUGCUGAGGAUGCGAAGAUGAGCCUCGCGCGGUUCUCCGUGCUGCUGAAGCAUCUCUCUUCCUCCUGAUGAGGGGAGCAAAGAGGACGAAAACAAGGCUGACUCGUGUUCUUGCCCCCCCCCCCCCCCCAAAAGCUCGCAAAGGUGGAGCGAUUAGAGCUGGGCUCAUGACGGAACUAUUAAUCCUUUCAGUGCACCAAAGAGGUUUGGAAACGUUUGGAUGGAAUUUGGACGAGUGUCUGCUACUAGAACUGUUUUUGGUCUUGUAUGAAACCGGUGAUUACUUCCCUGAUGACUGCAUUGAGGAGUUUUUUUUGGGGGGGGGUUAGGGAUGAGCAUGUUUCCCUAAAACUCACGUCUUGUUUUCUCUCCUAAAGUACUCGCACAUCUAAAUGGAAUUAGUUGAGUCCGCAGCCAUUUGUGAAAGGAACAGACAUGGUACAUGGGCAUAGCUUCCAUCACGUUGUUGCAAGUCUUCUCCUCCUUGGCUUGUCUGGUGCAACAAAAAGACAAACAUCAGUGAAAAACAAUUCUGGCGUGAAGCCAGCUGGUGAAUGCGGAACGUGGGUGAAAGAACCACAAGGAGGUCUCUUCACUUCUCCCAAUUACCCCAGCAAAUACCCAGCAGAUACAGAGUGCGUGUACAUCCUUGAAGCCCCGCCGAGGCAGUGCAUCGAGCUGCACUUUGAAGAUCACUAUUCCAUCGAGUCCUCUUGGGAAUGUAAAUUUGACAACAUCGAGGUUCGCGAUGGACCUUUCGGCUUCUCUCCCAUGCUCGGACGCUAUUGUGGUCAGCACAGCCCGCCAGAUAUCAGGAGUAGCGGCCGCUACCUGUGGUUAAAAUUUGUGACGGACGGCGAAUUGGAGGCGGUGGGAUUUUCAGCCAAUUACAACUUCACUGCAGAUCCAGACUUUGCAGAUUUGGGAAUACCGCCACCUCUGCCCUCAUGUCAGUACAACAUGGUCGGUCCGGAAGGUAUCGUGGAGUCUCAUCAGAUCACCAGAGACGGGAAGGCUGGCGCCAACGAGGCCGUCGACUGCAAAUGGUACAUCCAGGCGCCACCGCACUCCAAGAUCUACCUACGUUUCCUCGACUAUGAGAUGGCUAACUCCAACGAGUGCAAGCGCAACUUUGUGGCAGUGUACGACGGCGGCAGUUCGGUGGAGGACCUGAAAAGCAAGUUCUGUUCCACGGUGGCCAAUGAUCUCAUGUUGGUGUCGACUCUCGGCGUCAUCCGGAUGUGGGCAGAUGAAGCUAGUCGAAAAAGCCGCUUCCGCAUCCUUUUCACCACCUUCCAAGAACCUCCGUGUGACCCAGAUGCCUUCUUCUGUCACAGUAACAUGUGCAUAAACAACACACUGGUAUGCAAUGGCCAGCAGAACUGUGUGUACCCCUGGGAUGAGAAUCAAUGUAAAGAGAUGACGAAAGCCAACAUCCUGGACAAUCUGAACAACACAAACGGGACCAUCAUCGGUGUAACAUGCUGUAUCGUCCUUCUCCUCCUCAUCAUCUCCGUUAUCGUUCAAAUCAAGCAGCCUCGCAAAAAGUACAUCCUCCGGCGUGAGGACUUUGACCCCACCAUGUUUCAAGAGGUCUUCGAGCCGCCUCACUACGAGCUGUGCACUUUGCGCAGCGCCACCGCCGCCACCUCAGCAGACUUGGUGGACGUAGCGGAGGACUUUGAGAACUACCACGCCCUCCGCCGUGCCUCCUCACGCUGCAUCCACGACCACCACUGUGGCUCCUCCUCCAACCCGGGCUCGGCCCACAUAUCCAAGCUGUCCCUCAGCGGGCGAGGGAGCCGCGGCAACCUGAGCGCGCGGGACGCGGCGGCCGGCCUUCUGGCAGACCUCCCGCAGGCCCCCAUGUCCGUGCGGCCCCUGCUGCCCAGCUCGGCCAACCGUCGGAGCAUCUUGGUCAUGAAGCACAGCUACUCGCAAGAGGGAGCUGACAACGGUUGUGACCUAGACGACGACCUGGAUGAAGUUCCAACCACCAGCCACCGACUUUCACGCCACGAAAAGGCAGUACAGCGGUUCUGCCUCAUUGGCUCUUUGAGCAAACACGAAUCAGAGUACAACACAACUAGGGUCUAAGAGACAAUCUCAAGGUAAGCCCCCUUUGCUUCGUCCAACACUUUUGAUGAUGUAUCUUGUGUUGUCGCCUUUUGCUUUGAUGAAUGUUUUCCUUCUUUGUGUGUGUGUGUUUUUUUUACAAUUUUUUUCUACUAAAAUGAUUUUCUUGCUUGCAGCCAUCUUGGAAUUUGUGUGUUUGUUUGAACAUAGAAUGCUAAAUUUUACUGCAUGGUUGUUGUUUAUUUCCUGGUAGACAAACUGUAGAUGCAUUGGAUGUUUGAUCUGCAUGGACUUGCUCGAUUUGUAUUUGUUACCGGUCUUAAUGUGUUAAUCCUUUUGCCCACAGCACAAAUGAGCAGCGAUUAGUAAAAAAAAUUAUCUGAUGUGGGAUUUGAUACUAAACCAUGUUACAGUUAAAGUAAUACAUCCUUGUCAGUGACCAUAUAGUUUAAGUCCACUGUCCAUUUUGUACAUAAAUAAAUGAUUUACAAUUGAUAGUUAAAGCCAUUGAAACGUUGUGGCGCGGUUCCCUCGGAUACCGCUAGAGGAAGCCAAUGCACAACAAUAAGGAUCAUCACGCUGCGCUAAUUCUCAGUUUUUAACUUGUGCUCGGUUAUGUCAUAUUUUACAUGUCUAAGAUUUACUGAGGUUGAUCCCAGUGGAUUUUAUAGUCACUGGACACUUAAAUAAAUUUUUAGCAUAAAAAUCUAUGUUCUGUUUAAAAUACACGUGUCUGUUUAUGUAUGUGCGCACUCAUGUUCUACAUUGUGUGGCAUUGUCUCCAUCAUGUAGACAUCUUGAGAGUAGUGCAAUCCGGGAUGAGCCCGAGCAGGCAUGAACUGACGGGUGACAAAGCGGACCCUGCGCGAUGUGAUGCGAUGCUGAGGCUCGAAUGGACGCUUUGACGCAAUGAUAUCCAAAGGAUGUGAUCAUGUGCAAAGAUGAGCACAAAGAACUAGAUGAACAUAGUUCAUGACGUCAUUCUUUGAAUGACGUUUGAUGUUCAUCCCAUUUUGGUUCUUGUCUCCAUAGAAAACAACAAUCCAUCUUAUAUAGCUUCUGGCUAAAAUUCGGGUGAUAUUUCUUCAACUGUCACUGAGGACAAACUAUUUAUGAUCCAAAGGUAUAGCAUGUGUCAUGGAGCGGAUGGAGCAGGGUGACCAAGUGCAGCUUAGACCAGGGUUUAUUGUAGAAAACAACAGACUCGGCAAACUGACAUAACGCAACAACACAACAAGAGGACUGACCGACAGGGAUGUGAAACAAAAGACGUGAAGACAUUACAAAAACAGGAACCAAAGAGACAUCAAGACAACAAUGAUCCAACGGGCAGUGAGUGGCAGACAGGACUUACCGUAAUUUCCGCCCUAUAAGGCGCACCUAAAAACCAAAAUUUUUAUCAAAAGUCAACAGUGCGCCUUAUAGCCCGGUGCGCCUUAUAUAUGGCUCAAGUGAUGAAUUUGUUGAUCCAUACUGGUUGUACACAGUCCUCUGCCAAAAUGUUUUAGUACGUUUUAGUACGACUAGUAAAUUACAAGGUCGCAUCGCUUCCCAGCAUUACGGUAACUGUAGUCAGGGGGCGUCACCGAAUAGCUGUUGUACCCGCGAGGCUAUUUCAUUUCAAAAUAGGCUGCUCCGUUAAUGUUUCGAGUAAAUCUACGGAUCGAUAUGGAAGGGAAACAUAGAUACAUCAUGCAUCCUUUUUCUGCAUCUUGCCAAGAUUGACUGCAUUUGGAGGUCACUCUCCCCUGUGACGCUUCAGUGAACUAAUAUGCCUGAGUGAUGUGAUUUGGUUCUGCGGUAUACGAAUGUUUUCUUUGCUUCAGACCGCGCAGGUUGCCGUAUCUGUGGACCACAUCUGGCAAGGAAGAACUAGCCAUGGAACAUUGAUAAAAGACUGAAACCAGAGAAUACCUUUAAUGUAAAGUCGUUCAUCAUUUCAUGCUUCAGUUAAACCUUUCAUAUUUAUUGGAAGGGCGAGUGCUGUCAUGUCUUAACAGUACAUGUGUCGAAAUGAAAUUUAUUCACUAAUAACCCUUUAUUUACUUGGCAUACGUCCGGGCAUUAUAAUUCAUUAGUUUGUCACUCUUUGUCAUUACAUGGUGCAUUUAUUUAAGAGAGGCUUUUCCAUACUGAUUUCAUAAUAUAAAGAAAAUGCUGGAAAGAAUAUUUCAAUAAACAAAUGUUUACUGGUUAA